AUUGAACGCUGGCGGCAGGCCUAACACAUGCAAGUCGAACGAGUGGCGGACGGGUGAGUAAUGUCUGGGAAUCUGCCCGAUAGAGGGGGAUAACUACUGGAAACGGUAGCUAAUACCGCAUACUAUCAGAUGUGCCCAGAUGGGAUUAGCUUGUUGGUGGGGUAAAGGCUCACCAAGGCGACGAUCCCUAGCUGGUCUGAGCGGAUGAGCAGCCACACUGGGACUGAGACACGGUCCAGACUCCUACGGGAGGGAGCAGUGGGGAAGAUUGCACAAUGGGCGCAAGCCGGAUGCAGCCAUGCCGCGUGUAUGAAGAAGGCCGUCGGGUUGUAAAGUACUUUCAGCGGGGAGGCGUUACCCGCAGAAGAAGCACCGGCUAACUCCGUGCCAGCAGCCGCGGUAAUUC
rnacentral:rRNA from 1 species